AGUUGAAGUCUCUGGUAAUGAUGAAUGCAGCCUCAGGCUAUGCAGUGUCCUACUUGGAUAUGUUACCAAACAGUGUUUUGAAUGCCUCGUUUGUCAAUUUAAGGAGGAAACUUCACAGCUGUAAUAAUAACUACUGUGAAUUCCCUCAGUAGGCAGUAGAGAGAAACCUUAUUUCAAACUGGAGCCAUUGAGUGAUAUUGUGUUAAUUUUAACACUAAAUUUAAUGUGUUAUUUGAAGGUCAUUGUAGAGAGGAAAUAAGAGAGCCUUUCUACUCUUGAUUCAGCUCACAGUCUUCCUCACCUCCUCCUUUCUAUUCUUUCAUAUUUCUUGCACUAAAAUAUUCACUGCCUCUCCCCUUUUUUCCUCAUUCAUCAGCUCCUCAAAAUACUCCUUCCAUCUUCUCUGCACACUCUUCCUGCCUGUUAGCACCUUUCCACCUCUAUCUUUAAUCACCCUUAUUUGUUGAACAUUCAUCCCAUCUCUAUCUCUCUGUCUCGCUAAUCUGUACAAGUCCUUCUCACCUGACCUUUUGCUUUCCAGACCUACCAUGCAACUUGUAUACGCUUUCUGUUUGGCCUUUGCCACAUCCCUCUUCACUCUGUGCUGCGGUUCCUUUUAAUGAUAAUUAAUCCUGUCUACUUUCUUUGAUCCUUUCUACUUCUCAAUUCUUUUUAGCUAGUCUCUUACUCUGAAUGCUGUUCUGUACUGUACUUCAUUGUACCACCACCAUGUUUCCUUAUCUUCUUUUCUCCUUCAGAUGACACACCUACCCGCCUACCUGUCUCCCUGAUCACUUCUGCUGAUUCCCAGUCAUCUGGAAGGUCUUCCUGACCACUCAAAGCCUAUGUCAGCUUCUGUUUGAAUCCUUCACAACAUUCUUUCUUUUUCAACUUCCAUCACUUGGUCUUCUUUUCUAUCUAUCCUCUCCUCUUCCUCCAGAAAAACAGAGACAUCCUACACAUGAUCAUCCGAUGCUGUCUGGCUACACUCUCUCCUACCACCAACUCCAACUUCCACUCUAAUAUAAUAUUAGCCCAAUUUCCGCCAGCACCAAUAGGUUGACAGUGCCGAUGGCAGUUGUUGUUAACCUGGGCCUCAACUGAUACGGAGUUGGGACCGGCACAGAAAUCACUGUCUUGCAGCACCUGUGGACUUUUGGAAUCCUGCUGGACUUUACCAUUAAAGUUGUGACUUAAAAAGAAUUACACAUCAUUAAAUAGUGCAGAUAAAAAUGUGGUUGUGUACGUGCAUGCAUGCAUGUGUGUGGUACACUAGUGGUUAAGGUGUUGGGCUAUUAAUUAGAAGGUUGUGGGUUCGAUCUCAGGUCCACCAUGCUGCCACUGUUGGGCCCCUAAGCAAGACCUUUAACCCUCAAUUGCUCAGUUGUAUAAAAAAUGAGAUAAUGUAUGUUCUAGAUGUAUGUGUGUGAGAUGCUGAUGUGUCCUCAACCUCGAUCAGAAGGUUAUGUUAUGAUGCAAUAAUGGAAUGUCUAUGACAUCUA